CAUUAGAUGGCUGAAAGAAAGUGCUGGUCUCUUAAACCAUUUAAUAGUAGUCGCGCCUACUUCUAAUG
rnacentral:tRNA from 1 species